rnacentral:sRNA from 1 species
UCUCAAGUAUCGAGGUGUUCCUGUUUAGACACCAUCCACCUUAGCUUUUGAGACGGGGUCUCUCGUUGGAACCUGGGACUCACUGAUUAGGACAUGCUAACCAGCCAGAAAGUCCCAGAGAUAACUGACCUGCCGCUGCCCUCCCAGCACUGAAGAUUACAACGGCAUACCAGCCCGCAGAUGAACACUCUUAGAAAAAGAAAAUCCUGUAAUAAAGCAGAAAAGUGCAGUGGAGGUUUAAGAAAAGGGUUGUGUGUAGGAAGAGGAAGAGACGCACAUGUAUGUGCAGAAGCAGCUUUUAAAAGAUGAACAAAGACAUCAAAAUGCCGGAGAGAACACGAUGAGCACAGCCUGCUGUGUCCACAGCCUACUGUGUCUGACAGCAACACAGCUUCUCAGAGGAAGGGAUCAAAGGUUCCAUUCUUCAAACUGUGCCACACCUAUACCUCACCUCUCUCCAUUUUCCUGUCACCUGCCGGGUGUUCACACAGCAACCACAUAUUAUCCACAGAGAAACCCAGUCUCCCAAAACUAAAC